AUACGUAGGAGACAAGCGUUAUCCGGAUUUACUGGGCGUAAAGGGCGUGUAGGCGGUCUUGCAAGUCAGAAGUGAAAUUCCUGAGCUCAACUCGGGCGCUGCUUCUGAAACUGCAGGACUUGAGUGCUGGAGGGGAUAGCGGAAUUCCUAGUGGAGCGGUAAAAUGCGCAGAUAUUAGGAAGAACACCGGUGGCGAAGGCGGCUAUCUGGACAGUAACUGACGCUGAGGCGCGAAAGCGUGGGGAGCAAACAGGAUUAGAUACCCUGGUAGUCCACGCUGUAAACGAUGAAUACUAGGUGUAGGGGGUAUCGACUCCCUCUGUGCCGCAGUUAACACAAUAAGUAUUCCGCCUGGGGAGUACGGCCGCAAGGUUGAAACUCAAAUGAAUUGACGGGG
rnacentral:rRNA from 1 species